AACGCACAUUGCGCCUCUCUUUACCGGGAGGCAUGCCUGUCUGAGCGUCAUUUAACACCCAUAAAUCGUGCUCGAUUUGUGUUGGGCUCUGCACCCCGGUGCAUUGCCUCAAAGCCAUGGGGCGUUUUGAUUUGCGGACGAGUUCCUGUCGGACCUACCGUGAUUCGUGACCCGACCAAAAGAAGCCGGGAAGGCUUCUGAAUCUCUUGACCUCAGAUCAGGUAGGAAGACCGCCUGAACUUAA
rnacentral:misc_RNA from 1 species